CACGUAGGGUGCGAGCGUUGUCCGGAAUUAUUGGGCGUAAAGAGCUCGUAGGCGGUGUGUCGCGUCGGCCGUGAAAACCUGCAGCUUAACUGUGGGCUUGCGGUCGAUACGGGCAUCACUGGAGUUCGGCAGGGGAGACUGGAAUUCCUGGUGUAACGGUGAAAUGCGCAGAUAUCAGGAGGAACACCGGUGGCGAAGGCGGGUCUCUGGGCCGAUACUGACGCUGAGAAGCGAAAGCAUGGGGAGCGAACAGG
rnacentral:rRNA from 1 species